rnacentral:rRNA from 1 species
UACGUAGGGUGCAAGCGUUAAUCGGAAUUACUGGGCGUAAAGCGUGCGCAGGCGGUUGUGCAAGACAGAUGUGAAAAUCCCCGGGCUCAACCUGGGAACUGCAUUUGUGACUGCACGGCUGGAGUGCGGCAGAGGGGGAUGGAAUUCCGCGUGUAGCAGUGAAAUGCGUAGAUAUGCGGAGGAACACCGAUGGCGAAGGCAAUCCCCUGGGCCUGCACUGACGCUCAUGCACGAAAGCGUGGG